UAAAUGCGGAAGAGAUAAGUGCUGAAAGCAUCUAAGCACGAAACUUGCCCCGAGAUGAGUUCUCCCUGACUCCUUGAGAGUCCUGAAGGAACGUUGAAGACGACGACGUUGAUAGGCCGGGUGUGUAAGCGCAGCGAUGCGUUGAGCUAACCGGUACUAAUGAACCGUGAGGCUUAACCUUACAACGCCGAAGG
rnacentral:rRNA from 1 species